rnacentral:rRNA from 1 species
AGCAGCCGCGGUAAUUCCAGCUCCAAUAGCGUAUAUUAAAGUUGUUGCAGUUAAAAAGCUCGUAGUUGAAUUUCGGGAUCAAUGUUUCGGUCAUGCCCUUGGUAUGUACUGAUAUUAUUGGUUUCUCACCUUCUAAAGAACCGUAAUGCCAUUAAUUUGGUGUCACGGGGAAUUAGGACUGUUACCUUGAAAAAAUUAGAGUGUUUAAAGCAGGCUCACGCUUGAAUACAUUAGCAUGGAGUAAUGAGAUAGGACAUCCGAUUCUAUUUUGUUGGUUUCUAGGAUCGAUGUAAUGAUUAAUAGGGAUAGUUGGGGGCAUUAGUAUUCAAUUGUCAGAGGUGAAAUUCUUGGAUUUAUUGAAGACUAACUACUGCGAAAGCAUUUGCCAAGGAUGUUUUCAUUAAUCAAGAACGAAAGUUAGGGGAUCGAAGACGAUCAGAUACCGUCGUAGUCUUAACCAUAAACUAUGCCGACUAGGGAUCGGAUGAUGUUAAUUUUUUAAUGACUCA